rnacentral:rRNA from 1 species
GGUGAACGCUGGCGGCGUGCUUAAGACAUGCAAGUCGAACGGCAGUCUUCGGACUGUAGUGGCGCACGGGUGAGUAACGCGUAACUGACCUACCCCAAAGUCGCGGAUAACGAUUCGAAAGAAUCGCUACUACGUGAUGUGCUGUCAGAUUGUGUUCUGCCAGUAAAGAUUGAUUGCUUUGGGAUGGGGUUGCGUUCCAUCAGCUAGUUGGUGGGGUAAAGGCCCACCAAGGCGACGACGGAUAGCCGGCCUGGGAGGGUGGCCGGCCACAGGGGCACUGAGACACGGGUCCCACUCCUACGGGAGGCAGCAGUUAGGAAUCUUCCACAAUGGGCGAAAGCCUGAUGGAGCGACGCCGCGUGAGGGAUGAAGGUCUUCGGAUCGUAAACCUCUGAAUCAGGGACGAAAGACACUUCGGUGGGAUGACGGUACCUGAGUAAUAGCACCGGCUAACUCCGUGCCAGCAGCCGCCGUAACAC